ACUCCUACGGGAGGCAGCAGUGGGGAAUAUUGGACACUGGGCGCAAGCCUGAUCCAGCCAUGCCGCGUGAGUGAUGAAGGCCCUAGGGUUGUAAAGCUCUUUCACCGGUGAAGAUAAUGACGGUAACCGGAGAAGAAGCCCCGGCUAACUUCGUGCCAGCAGCCGCGGUAAUACGAAGGGGGCUAGCGUUGUUCGGAUUUACUGGGCGUAAAGCGCACGUAGGCGGACUAUUAAGUCAGGGGUGAAAUCCCGGGGCUCAACCCCGGAACUGCCUUUGAUACUGGUAGUCUUGAGUUCGAGAGAGGUGAGUGGAAUUCCGAGUGUAGAGGUGAAAUUCGUAGAUAUUCGGAGGAACACCAGUGGCGAAGGCGGCUCACUGGCUCGAUACUGACGCUGAGGUGCGAAAGCGUGGGGAGCAAACAGGAUUAGAAACCCCAGUAGUCCCAUGAU
rnacentral:rRNA from 1 species